UCCUGGGUUUAUCCUUGAAAAUCCUGGGUUUAUCCCAAAAAUCCUGGGUUUAUCCCGAAAAUUAUCCCGAAAAUCCUGGGUUUAUCCCGAAAAUCCUGGGUUUAUCCCGAAAAUUAUCCCAAAAACCCUGGGUUUAUCCCGAAAAUCCUGGGUUUAUCCUGAAAAUUAUCCCGAAAAUCCUGGGUUUAUCCUGAAAAUCCUGGGUUUAUCCUGAAUUCCUGGGUUUAUUCCUAAAAAACCCAGGUUUAUCCCUGAAAAUCCCAGAUUUACACCCAAAUCCUCAGGUUUAUCCCUAAAAAUCUCGGCUUUAUCCCAAAAUCCCAGGUUUAUCCCCCAAAAUUCCCAUUUUUAUCCCCCAGAAUUCCCAGGUUUAUCCCAAAAUCCCAGGUUUAUCCUAGAAAUCCCAGAUUUAUGCCUAAAAAUCCCAGAUUUAUCCCCAAAUUCCCAGGUUUAUCCCCCAAAAUUCCCAGGUUUAUCCCAAAAUCCCGGGUUUAUCCCUAAAAAUCCCAGAUUUAUCCCCAAAUCCUCAGGUUUAUCCCUAAAAAUCUCGGCUUUAUCCCUAAACCCCCAGGUUUAUCCCCAAAAUCCCAGGUUUAUCCCCAAAUUCCCAGGUUUAUCCCCCAAAAUUCCCAGGUUUAUCCCAAAAUCCCGGGUUUAUCCCUAAAAAUCCCAGAUUUAUCCCCAAAUCCCCAGGUUUUAUCCCCCUAAUUCCCAGGUUUAUCCCAAAAUUCCCAGGUUUAUCCCCAAAAAUUCCGGGUUUAUCCCUAAAAAUCCCAGGUUCAUUCCAAAAUCCCCAGGUUUAUCCCAAAAUUCCGGGAUGAUUUUGGGGACGUUUCCCUGCUGCCGGCAUUCUCCGUUCCACAAGCGCUGGCAAAGCUCCGUGGGACGCCGAGAACCUCAGGGGAUCGGGAUGAAGAUCCCGUAGGAUUCUGUGGAUUGGGAUGAAGAUCCCGUAGGAUUCUGUGGGAUUGGGAUGAAGAUCCUGUAGGAUCUGGAUUUGUGGGAUCGGGAUGAAGAUCCAGCGGGAUCCCUGUGGGAUUGGGAUGAAGAUCCCGUAGGAUUCUGUGGGAUCGGGAUGAAGAUCCUGUAGGAUCUGGAUCUGUGGGAUCGGAUGAAGAUCCAGCGGGAUCCCUGUGGGAUUGGGAUGAAGAUCCUGUAGGAUCUGGAUCUGUGGGAUCGGGAAAAGAUGGAGUAGGAUCCCUGUGGGAUCGGGAUGAAGAUCCCAUAGGAUUCUGUGGGGUUGGGAUGAAGAUCCCGCAGGAUCUGGAUCUGUGGGGUCGGGAUGAAGAUCCAGCGGGAUCCCUGUGGGAUUGGGAUGAAGAUCCCGUAGGAUUCUGUGGGGUUGGAAUGAAGAUCCAGCAGGGUUCUAUGGGGUUGGGAAAAAGAUCCAGUAGGAUCCGGCUCUGUGGGAUCAGGACAAAGAUGGAAUAGGAUCCGUGUGGGAUCGGGAUGAAGAUCCAGCAGGAUCUGUGUGGGAUCGGGAUGAAGAGGGAGUAGGAUCCCUGUGGGAUCGGGAUGAAGAUCCCGUAGGAUUCUGUGGGGGUUGGGAUGAAGAUCCAGCAGGAUCUGUGUGGGAUCGGGAUGAAGAUCCAGCAGGAUCCCUGUGGGAUCGGGAUGAAGAUCCCGUAGGAUUCUGUGGGGUUGGGAUGAAGAUCCCGUAGGAUUCUGUGGGAUCAAGAUGAAGAUCCAGUAGGAUCUGUGUGGGAUUGGGAUGAAGAUCCAGCAGGAUCCCUGUGGGAUUGGGAUGAAGAUCCCAUAGGAUUCUAUGGGGUUGGGAUGAAGAUCCCGUAGGAUUCUGUGGGAUUGGGAUGAAGAUCCUGUAGGAUUCUGUGGGAUCGGGAUGAAGAUCCUGUAGGAUCUGGAUUUGUGGGAUCGGGAUGAAGAUCCAGCGGGAUCCCUGUGGGAUCGGGAUGAAGAUCCCAUCCCGUAGGAUUCUAUGGGGUUGGGACAACUGCUUUUCCUGGUGCUCCAAGGCCACGAUUGGGGUCAUCCAUUGGGAAAGAUCUGGGAUGAGUUUGGGGGACCUUUUCCUGGUGCUCCAAGCCCGGGAUCGGGGUUAUCCAGGUGGGUUCAUCCAUUGGGAUGGAGAUCAGAUGGAUUUGAGGAGCUUUUCCUGGUGCUCCAGGACCGGGAUUGGGUUCUUGGGAAUGCUCCGAGGUGAUUUUGGGGAGCUUUUCCUGGUGCUCCAAGGCCACGAUUGGGGUCCCUCAGGUGGGUUCAUCCAUUGGGAUGGAGAUCAGAUGGAUUUGAGGAGCUUUUCCUGGUGCUCCAAGCCCGGGAUCGGGGUCAUCCAUUGGGAAAGAUCUGGGAUGAGUUUGGGGAGCUUUUCCUGGUGCUCCAAGCCCGGGAUCGGGGUCAUCCAUGGGGAAAGAUCUGGGAUAAGUUUGGGGAGCUUUUCCUGGUGCUCCAAGGCCACAAUUGGGUUCAUCCAUCGGGAAAGAUCUGGGAUGAGUUUGGGGAGCUUUUCCUGGUGCUCCAAGGCCACGAUUGGGGUCCCUCAGGUGGGUUCAUCCAUUGGGAUGGAGAUCGGAUGGAUUUGGGGAGCUUUUCCUGGUGCUCCAAGCCCGGCAUCGGGGUCAUCCAUGGGGAAAGAUCUGGGAUGAGUUUGGGGAGCUUUUCCUGGUGCUCCAAGCCCGGCAUCGGGGUUAUCCAUCGGGAAAGAUCUGGGAUGAGUUUGGGGAGCUUUUCCUGGUGCUCCAAGACCGGGAUCGGGGUCAUCCAUUGGGAAAGAUCUGGGAUGAGUUUGGGAAGCUUUUCCUGGUGCUCCAGGAUUGCGAUCGGGGGUUCUUGGGAAUGCUCCGAGGUGAUUUUGGGGAGCUUUUCCUGGUGCUCCAGGAUUGCGAUCGGGGUUCUUGGGAAUGCUCCGAGGUGAUUUUGGGGAGCUUUUCCUGGUGCUCCGGGACCGCGAUCGAGGUUCUUGGGAAUGCUCCGAGGUGAUUUUGGGGAGCUUUUCCCCAUACCCCAAGCCCCCGAUGGGGCCUCACGCAGCCGCGUUUGUCCUCUC